rnacentral:lncRNA from 1 species
GCAGCGCUAUGAUGAGGUCCCUCAGAGUCACUCAGGAGAUGCAGAAUUCCAGGCUGACGGCACUGAGCAGCUGGCUCCGGCGUUUGUCUGAGGCCUCCUCCGUGCUCCAGUCUACCUGUGUGACGCAGGCUCUGAAGCUUGAAAUUGGCCACAGAGGGAGUAUUUACACCAUGGACAUUGCAAAUGCUAUAGUUCCAGGUAUUUUUGUUGUUGUUGUUUCUUUGUUUUUUAGAGAGUCUGUUCAUGAGCAUACUUCUUGAAUGCAUGAUUUAAAAAAACAUUGUACUUACCAGUUUGUGUGUAC